AAGACUAUACUUUCAGAAAUCGUUUCUAUAGUGAUUGACUAGGAAAUGUGAUUUGAAAGUGAUGCAUCUUCCUAAUCAUGAUGGAGAGCUCUGAUGUAUUCUUCUGAGCCUGAAUCUGAUUCAGGCUAAUGAUUUUUGUCACAGGCUUGGGUCAUUGAUGAUCUUUCUCUGUUUCUUAGGAAGCAACAGAAGAAGAGUACAUGAUCUGAGUAAU